AUUACAUUACUAGGGUCCAUAGAUUUUUUAUCUCUUUUUAUUUUUGGUUCUGCUAACUGAUCUUUAAAUUCUUCCUAUUUUGAAGAGUUGCAGAUUAAAGUCAAAAAAGAAUUUCGCAAGCUUGAACCAUUAUUGCAAUCUAUUUUUGCAGUUCCAUUAUCAAGACUAUAUGAUUGUACACAAUUGCUUACAAUGUCCUAAGAUAUCUCAUUAAUUGCUUGCUUUUUGUUACAGGUACCCUACACUGCACUCUUUCCUAUUUCAUGAACUUAAAAUUGCAACAGAGUCGCUUUUGGAUGGGUCUUCUGGACAACAAGGAUCUAAUUUGGCAAAACUUGUGCACCCAAGCUUGUGCCCAAUUCUGAUUCUGUUGUCACGGCUAAAACCUUCAGCAGUUACAAGUGAAGCUGGGGACAGUUUGGACCCUUUCAUAUUCUUGCCAUUCAUCAGGAAGUGCUCUGUCCAAAGCAAUUUCCGUAUCCGAAUUCUUGCUUCCAGAGCUCUAACGGGCCUGAUAUCGAAUGAGAAAUUGCCCAUUGUGCUGCUUAAUAUUGCCUCUGAGUUACCUUGCACAAGGAAUGUCUCUUCUGAUGCAUCCAACUCAAUUGACACACAAAAUGGUACUUGCCAUACUUUUAAUUCACUUCAUGGGAUGCUGCUGCAGUUGAACACGCUUCUCGAUAACAAUUGUAGAUGCCUUGCUGAUUCCUCCAAAAAAGAUGCAAUUCUGAAGGAUCUGAUUGAAAUUCUUGCAAUACGUUCAUGGAUUGGUAAGUUUCAACUCUGCCCUUGCCCUAUCCUGAAUAGCUGCUUUCUUGGGGUACUGGAUAACAUGCUCAGUAUUGCAACAACGUGUCAAAUGAGCAGAAGUAUUGCUGCUAUUUGGAACCUCGUAUGGGAGUUAUCUUCAGAAUUUUUGGAUUUAGAAGAACCUCAGAAAUUGUCAUAUCAUGAUCCAACUAUUGUAGAACUUCGCAAACAAGCAGCAGUGUCAUAUUUCAAUUGCUUAUACAAAACGUCUAAGGAAAUUGCUGAAGAGGAUAUUUUGAUGCCUGGAACAUGUUCCUCAACUGCUUCAAGUUUGUUAAGAGUAUCUGAUUUGGACAGUGCUCUCUCAAGAUUUCAGGAAAGGCUGAGAGGCUGCAUGUCUGACACAUCAUACGAAGUUCGUCUUGCAACUUUCAAGUGGCUAGUUUUAUUUCUGAAAUCAGCAGGAUUAAAAAUUGAAGGAGGCAAUUCAUCUUCUCAUGAGAUCAAGACAUAUUUGUUGUACAAUAUUGAUCUCCAGAAAAAACUAGUGGAGCUUCUAGCGACCGAGAAUAACCAUAAAUGCACAUAUUACAUUCUUAAAAUUAUCUACAUGUGGAACAUGUUGGAAUGUGAAGAAAAGGGUGAACUAGAUGUCAGCCUUGGAUCAAUUGGUGUGGAUCGCAGUUCAUUGUGGUGGUUUUGGGACAAGUUAGUGUCCAUGUACAAGGUCACUAGACAUUCAAAGAAUCGACAAGUGCUCAUCUGCUGCAUGGGGAUAUGUGUAAAGCAGUUUGCUAGCAUAUUCUCAAGCUUUGUUUGCUCUAACAUGAAGAAGGAAGAGAUAGCCAUAUCCAGCCGAUAUGAUCUUGAUGGGAGACUCUCCAAGUUUUACGAUUGCAUCAAUUAUUUUGUUGAACUAAUACAACUACACAGUUCUGCAUCAGAGCCUGUAAAUAUGCGGAACGCAGCUGCAGAAUCAAUAGUUGCAUCUGGUUUACUUGAUCAUGCAAAGAUAGUUGGUUCUUUAGCCUUCAGUAACAGCAUUCCAGGCGAAAAUCCUAGUUCAGAAUUCAAAGUAGAGGAGGUUGUGAACAUAUAUGGCCAUAAGAUUCUGAAUCUAUGGUUGACAUGCGUAAGACUUUUGGAGGAUGAAGAUGUGGAACUCAGAAGGAAGCUUGCCCUUGAUGUUCAGAAGAGUGUUACAUCCACAACGUGUCAAAAUGUUGAACUGGUUCCCAGCCAAGUGGAGAAGGUUAUUGAGAUGAGUUUUGACCAUCUCUCUUCAAUCUUUGGUCACUGGAUUGACUACUUUGAUAGUCUCUGCAAUUAUGUUUUUAAUGCUGUAAACUCUGUGGUCAGUGUUGUGCCAAGAGGAGACCUUGUGAGACGUGUUUUUGACAAGGAGAUUGAUAACCAUCAUGAAGAAAAGCUAUUGAUCUGUCAGAUUUGUUGCUCUCACUUGGAGAAGCUUCCAAUUUCUAAAUCUUGGGCAGCUAACUCCUCUGACAAUCACAGGGUAAGGGACCUUUUACGUGGUUGGAGGAGGAGAUUUUGCCACUACUUGACAUCAUUUGCCAAUGACUCUAUUGGCCGACGGGAAGUUGAUUGGAUUGGUGGCGCCGGUAACCAUAAGGAUGCAUUUUUACCCUUGUAUGGAAAUUUACUAGCCUUCUUUGCCCUGUCAAAUUGUAUCUUUGAGGGGGAGAAAGAGAGGAGCAAGUCCAUGCUAGAUGAAGUUUCUGUGCUUGGCAGGACUCUGCGUCCAUUUCUUAGAAACCCGAUGAUAUGCAACCUAUAUUUGUUAGUGAUUGAUUCACAUGAGAAAAUGGUCGGCGCAACUGCUAGUGAUAUGAACAAAAGCUUGAUAGGAAAUUCUUCCGACUGGGAAGGUUUCAAUCCUUAUUUUCUCCUUAGGUGUGAAGUAUAAUCUUUUGUAAUUCUAAUUCCAUGAUCUGUACGCAAAGGGAUCGCAGCCAUAUCUUUUGGGAGUUAGGAGCCUCCCAAAGUUGUAGAGACCUUUUGAGUUUGCUACAUAUCUAAUACAUGUAUAACUUGCUCUAUAAUUUCCGCGAAUAUCUCUUCAUUACACACAGAGGGAUUUCUUUAUUGCUGCAUUUUUCUGUUUUACUCGGCGCCAUCUCCAUUUCGAAGGCGGAUUUCCAAUUUUUUUUUUUGGGGUAAAACUUCCUACACACACACUGCCCAACCAUUUUUCUUCUUUAAUUUAAAUCACGAAUAAAGGUGCUACAGUAAUAUUUUCCUAUUUACCCAUCUAAUCGAUCCGAUAUCGGACUGGAUAUUUAGACCACAUAAUAGAAUGGAAUCGUGUUCAUGAGACAUCACAUCCGAUCAAAUUGGUACCCUUCUAGGUAUUUCAGGAAGGCCACCGGACCUCUACCCUUGGUGUUUUUGACCCUGGAUAUAAGUUAAGAAACCUUAAACAGAACAUUUGCAUAUAAUAACUAAGGCCAUGACUACACUUGUGUAAAUCUCUUCAUAGCAGAAGAGAGAACUCUGCAGGAGGUACGUGCAGCUACAGUAAUAAAAAUUUUCCCAAGUGAUUAGUCGGAAAUAACUGAAAUUUGUGCUUGCCAUUACAAAUUUGCAAAAUACCAACAAAAGAGAGAUGCAAAAAUAACUAUCAAGUGUCAUCCUCCUCGUUGCCAUCCUCAUCAUCAUCUUCCUCAUCAUCAUCACCUUUUCCCUUAAUUAAAGAUGAGGAAAUAGACAUUAGACGCGGGCAGUAAAGGAAAGGAAAUAAAAAGGCAAAUGAUAUUUGCACUCUAGGCACUCCACACUUGCUCAUUUUCGUUUAAAGUGACAAAAAGACCCAUAACCUAGAAUCCUUGACUAUUUGAAUAACAAAAUUGCCCCCAAAGGCAUAGUAAAUGCAUAGAGGGGCAAUUUCGUCUCUUUAAAUAAUUUAUAGGUUUUUUGUGUCAUUUCAUUAACUGAUAAGCGAAGAUAGGGUGCAAGGAGCUUAUCUUGGAGUGCCAAUAUCAUUUGCCGUAAAAAAUGAACUAAAUUGUAACAGAUUAUAGAAAAAUGUUACAAGCAGUUGUAGCAGUUGACAAAUAGCACAGAAGCCAAUAUUUACAGCUCAAAAACAAGAAGGAGUCCAUGCACCAAAUACCACGAAACAGAGCUAACAGGAAGUGAAACACCAGAACUUCUCCUACUUCUGUAUUGCCACCAUAGCCAGAGUUAUCUGACCUCUGCUUUCAAAGAUAAGACCCAAGAGACUUAAAUCUGUUUCUUAUUUACUACUUAGCAUGUACUUCUUACAAAACACAACAGAUGUCAGAAUUGGAACAAAAAAGUGAAGAGAAGUCAUGAAGGUACAAGUAAAUUGGUAACCAUCCAUAUGACAACAUCAAAUAACAGAAAAGUGGCCUUUGAUAUGGAUAUUGGCAGCUUAUUAUAAAAGAAAGUGAAAACUAAAGAAAGCAGAUUGGUGUUAUAUGUCAACCUGGUCCUCUGAGUUCGUAACUAAAUGAUCACCAACUCAAGAAACAAAUCUCAACUCUUGGAUGAAUAUCCAUAGAAGUUAUGGUACUGAUAAAAUUGGAACUGGGGGACUAAAAUUUAGUCAAAUCCAGGAGAGAGGGUGCAUGAGUUAGUAAAUGAGAAGCUUUUCUAGGUUCUAAAGUGCCUGCCUGUUUCCAUGGGUUCCACAAAAUGUAAAAAAGCAAAAGCGUUGAUUUAUACCUCUUCAUCAUCCUCUUCUCCCUCGGAAUCCUCUUCAUCAGCUUCCUAUCAAAUCAAAAUAUGAAUUCUGUAAGCAAGGAGAAAGAGCUAUAAAUCAGAAAAAAGGAACAGUCAAAAUGGAUUUUACAUUGUUGAAAUAUUUCAGAGGGUUUGGCCAUAAAUCCUCCUUAAUUAUCUCUGCCACCUGCAUGUUUAAAGUAGAUGACAGAUAGAAUGAGAACAGGGAAGAAACCAUACUUCUUUAUUCAUCUAGAGCUACAAAGAUCACAAUAAAGUGAUCAUUAGAAGUAACAACUUGAAAGCCAGCCAAAAGUGUCAACCAUAUAUAUUACUACAUUUUACCACAAACAAAAAUAGCUAAUAAAGUUCUUAUAAUUGUAUGGAGAAUGAAUGUGAAAAGGCUUCAUAAAUUCAACAAGUAAUUACCUCAUCAUUAAGCCCCUCUACCUCAAGCGUAUCUUUUUGUUGUGUUUCAGAAAACCAACUAAAGAAGCUGCAUUGACAAUGCCCAAAAAAAAAAAAAAUGGUGAACUCUAGAUCAUACUUUCAGUUUAAGGGAAACAUACAGGACCUUUAGUAGAUAACUUAUAGCUUUCAACAGGUAAGUGACAUCAAUUCAUCAGAUGGUCACAACAAGAUAAAGGUGAGAAGCAUAUAUGCAGAUUUGCAUGUGCUUAACAAUUGGAAGACCAUGAAGAUUUUCCUCUUCACAAUCACAAUUGGACUUAAAAUAUAGUCCGGACUUGAGUUGCAGUUUCUAAAGAAGAGAUUUUCACUUGGUCAAUGCUCAGCUAGAAUACUAAGCAUAGCUAUUCAAGCUAAAAUGUCAGUCAACACCAUGGUCAAUGAAAAGCAUAAUCAGCAGUUGGAGCUCAAUAUGUAUCUACUAUACAUUAAACAACUUUUACAAUCUAAAACAUGCAUGCAACAAUGACGUUAACAUCUCCCUAAAUUCCUAACAGUUGGAUAAUUAUUAUCCUUAGCUCCAUGUGGUCAUCUAUAAGUUGAAGAUGCUAACAUCACAAAGCGUAUUUAUUUUCCAUGUCCAAAAAGCCAAUCAUCUGAUAUAGAGUCUAGGGAAAAAUCUGAAUAGAAAUGCAUUAAUUAGCAGAAAAUACCUGUCAUCAGAUGCUGGUCGUUUAUUUCCUUUCUUUUCAUGACUGCCUCCAUUUGCAGCCCCCUUCAAUUUUUUGAAGUUGUAGAAUUCAAAAUUAUAUACAAUAAAGGAUUCAAACUGCCCAAGAAGGAAUAUAUAUUCAAAUUAUUACCAUGCCUUCCUUCCACUUGAUAGCUGUACCAAUUAUCCUUGUUGUUCCUUCAUCUAAGAAGAUAAAUGUCUUUGUCAGCUUCGUAUCUUCAAAAUAUGGGUUUUGCUUGAAAUUCUGAAGAUCAAAAGCAAGAUUUCAGGUAAGAAUACAAGUACAAUACAUAGAUCAAUAACCAGCCUGCAAUGUCAAUUGUCCAUUUGUUUUUCUGAAGGAUGAAAGUUUCACGAGUAAAAGAAGAAACACACAAAUGUAAUUGAGUAACCCGAUUUCACAUCCUUAAAAUCCUCCACAUCAAGCGAAUCCAAAUAUUUGAAAAUCUGCAUAAGAAAUAAAUGUACAACCAAAUAAUCAGUGGCUAACAUUCACUAAAGAUGGUCAAGAAAAAAUAAAUUUAUCCUCCUAUGCUUAUAUCAGGAGGGUAAAUUGAAUGGCAAACUAAUCAGACCAAGUCAAAAGGUAAACUGAAAGGAAAAUCCUUUGGACUCCCAACCAAAAAUUUCCAAUCCACUAAAUUUCUAAGCACGUUGCAUACCUUCUGAUCCUCCUCAUUCAACAGAUCACCAAGCGCUGGAUGACUCAAAAACUGCAGGAAAAAGUAAAUUAAUAAAAAAUAAAUAACUAAAAGGAUCCCCUAAUAAGUUUCAACUUCAUUGAAAUUAGAAAAGGGAUGGCUUUGUAACUCACAGCAGUCAACCAAAAGUCAGGAAUUGUCUUUAUGAUCUCGCUUCUUCGGACAUAAACAGGCCUCCGUAAUUCAUUGUACUUCUGUUCAAUUUCCAGUACUUUGUCACUGGCAUCUUCAUUUACCUGCAAAGAAUAAGUCUUUUAGUCAAGCCCCACUUCCGCGCAAAGAAUCCCAGGCAGGAAAGAAUUAAGAGAAGAAUUCAUCUGGAAGUGUCUAAUCAACUUUUGUUUUUUUCUGUCUCCCUUAUUUAUUUAGCCAUCUUUCCUAAUUCCUGGGUGUCAAUUCUUUACCAUAUCAGCAUAUAUACUUGCCAGAAAAUUUCCAGGUCCACAUACAUCAUAUCAAGAUCAAACUAACUGGCUACAUGUAUAAACAAUUCCCAUCUUUGUAUGUCUACAUAAAUAUAUCUACUUACAAAAAUCUACACAGAAUGAAAUAAUUCAACAGCCUGUCUAACAGAUCAUAAUAUGAUAAAGAAGACCUGAUGGAAAGGCAAAAGGAUCCAAUCCAAGACACGAUUAUGCAUGCAUAAAUACAUGUAUUGAUGUAUGUCAGGGGGAUCCAAAAACGUUCUUCAGCUCAUCUUGGACAUCCCUAACUUUCUUAGUUUUAGCAGAAAGUUCAGCACGCUGAACAGGAUCUUCCUCAUCGCUAUCUCCAUGAAUGCUCGAUUUCUUUCCAGGAAAUGCAGCCAUACUUUUGUUGGAGAUAGUGAGGCAAAUAGAAAUUCUCAGGCCAAAAAAUCUUGCGGGUUUGUGAUUGUAAAUAACUUGCACUUUCAGGAGAACAUACUAUUGGCACACAGAACAGGUGGAUGGUGGAUGUCAAGUCAAAAAAAGCAAGGUCAACAUGUUUAAGUAUGCUCCUUCAGAUGUGCAAAUUCAGGGAAGAAAAAAUUUCACAUCUGUUAUGAGCAUCAUUGUCCAACCAUUCAUCCUUUCAAAUUUCAGCAAAAAAGAGUUAAUGUAUAUAUCUUUGCUAACAUCUACAGUGUAAGAGUUAGCAGGAAGGAACUACAUCAGUUUUCUCAUAUAUUAACCUUGAUUAACACCAAAAAAAUGAGGCAACAACUACAAAAACAUUAUCAAGUACUCGCCCACUCCACAAACAAUUUUUCCUUGUAGAAGACAGAAGUCAACAUAUUAACUAGCAUCUGUACAAGGAUCAAGGAAAAACAAAUACUCCCUCCGUCCCACUUUGAUAAUCUUGGUUCUUUUUUCACACAGUUUAAGAAAAAGUAGUUAACUUUGUUGAAACAAUCAAUUUAGGUAGCUAUUUUCCUAAAAUACCCUCACAUUAAUUAGAGUACAACUUUAUGGGAACUUGAAUUGAUGGUAAAAAAAGAAUAAACUCUCGUUAAAUGGGGUAAGUUUAUAGUAACAACAACUUACAUUGAACAAGGGUAUUUUAAAAAAAUUAAAAUACAACUACAUUCUUCAAUUGGAAAGUGGACUACAAUUUGGGACAGACGAAACAGGAAAACAUGACUAUCAAAGUGGGACGGAGGGAGUACAAGAAGAUUUUCACGUGCAUAAUUCUGUGCCUUCAAAAAUUAUCCUUUCCAACAAAAAUAAAACUGCAUACAAAGCCUUUUCCUCUUUAUUUCCAUUCGUUGCACCGAAACACUACAACAUUUUGCAAGGCAAACAGGGAUCACCUUUUGUAGAAAUAAACCGCUAGAAAAGUUAUAAUUGAGAGGAAGAAAAAUUAAGUAGAUAUGUAGGGGGAGAUGGGAAACAGAGGAGACCAAAACUAAAAUCAAAUUUUUUUAAUUUUGCCAAGUAAAGGAAAAGUAUUCAUUAGAAUAUUAACCUAAAAUGUGGUCUGUUUCCAUCAAACUAAAAAGUACCUUUCGCCUGAUAGGAGGGGAUAAGGAGAAGUAACAAUUGGAGGUGGGGGUAAUAAAAAUUAUAUUGCUAAUCUAAUUAAAAACUAUCAGAAGAAGCAAAUGCAAGGCAAGGAGCUUCUUGUAUCUGCAGCGAUCAACAGAUGAGUGUAUAGAAGGACCAAUUUGUACUUGCUUAAGCUCUAGCAUCUAAAUAUCAGCCGUCCACAACUCAACCCAACCCUCCAAUGUAUUGACGUAAAAACCCUAGUGGCUCUCAUCUAUGACCAUGCAGAUGUUAGUAAUUCCACGAACAAAAUCCCAAUAUGUGAAACUAGUACUGGUUCAUUCACGAUAAUGAUGACAAUUUUUUCUAAUAGAAAACUAGAAACGUUUAGUAUAAAUUAUGCAAAAGGAAAAAAAAAUAUACCUUUUCAAGCUCGUCCUGGACUUCUUGAAGCUUCUCGAUAGAGAGAACAAGCUCGCCAUCAAUGGGAUCGGAGUCUUCCUCCGCUGGAGCGGCCACCUUGGAUUUCUUUCCUCGCUCAGCCACCAUCUGUUUGUUUAGAGAAUGAAAGGAAACCCUAGGCGGGUUGUAGGCAGUUAAGCUUAAGCUUCAACCCCUGGAUUGGAUUGGUGGAAUGAGGAGUGGGGAUUGUAUGAAGCGGCAGAGUGAAGGGAGUCCAACUUCUUUUCGAGGGCAGAGACAACAAUUAAAUGAAAAUAUGUGGGCAAAUGUUUUUAAGUUACUUGUUCACCAUUUUGUGUCUAAGCUCUGCUAGUACUCAAUCGAAGCUAAUUUAUGGUCACAAACAUUCUCUUACCAUCAAUGAAAGGUUUUGGACAUAUAUAUACUGUAAAUCUUGCAUAAAAUUGAAGGUGUAUACAUUAUCGCGGUUGGAUAUAUGAUAUAUAUACAUAAUUUAAAUUUCAAAUUCAAAUUCAAAUAAUCUGUCAUGAAUUUUAUGAUGAAAGUGCAUAUACUGUUAAUACAAAAGAACGGCGCAAAAACUAUGCUAAUAUAAAAAACAACAGGAUGAAGAUAUCAGAACCAACAAUGAGCACCAACAACAUCAUCAGAUCCUCGAAUUAAGUCUAAUAAGAUAAAUCUAAUUAGUAGUUAGAAAAUAAUUUUUAUUACGAAUGUCUAACUCUAAGAUUGUAACUACCUCUUUCAAACAUAAGGGCGAUAUAAUAUAUCCUAGCAUACUCAUUGGAGUUUUUUUUCGCCUCUUUAUAUGAUCAUAUAGUAUAAUCAUGUAAUAGUAUCUCUUUUUUUUUUUCAGUGAAGGAUCAAUAGUAAUUGUAAGUUUUGUCGGGAUGAUUCCUUCGGAAAAAAAAAAUAAUGACUUGUGUUUUAGUCCUCUAUGUUAUGGCCUCUUCAAUUGAUUCUUUAUUGUUUAGAUUUGACUUAAUUUUCAGAUAUUCUUCUGACUUAUUUCAUUUUUAGUUCCCGUUGGCGUUGUAUUUGAAUGCUAAUUGAUCCUUAAAUCCGUAUUGACUUUUUUUGUAGUAUGCUUUGAGGCGUCCUCCUUCAAAAUCAAGCAUAAAAGAUGCAUGGAUCCUAUGUAUAUAUCGUGGAGUCAUUGGCAUGCUAAUCAAGAAGCCAAACUAUGCAAUUUCGGUACUCAGCUCUAUUCUGUUAUUAAUCGUUAGUUCCCCACUUCUUUUUUUUUUUUUUUGGAGAGGGAGAGCAGUAGAAUAAUAAGAUUAAUAGAGAUAAUAAUAUUUCUCUCAAAUAGUUUGUUUUAUUGAAGGGAACAAAACCCAAAAUAAGCACAACAUGAGUUGAUCUAGCAAAUCUAUGAGUGGAUGGUAUGCUUGGAACUUUCACAUAACCACAGUGGUAAUCAGUAAGGUCUAAACGUAUACUAUGGUGAUGACUCCAGCCCAAGCACCCUUCCAAUUAUUUAUGAUCCAUCAUAUCGAUCUCUCGCAGUAUCCAUCUCAAGGAAUGCUGGAAAUCAAACACAGGAGACGAAAAGACAAAUUCCGGUUAGCGAGAAAACGUAAUAAUAAUUACAGUACUAUAUUAGUAGUACGCAUCAAAAAAGAAUGAUGACGGUCCAAAUCAAAACCAAAAGCAGCAAAAAGAAAAAAAGAAAAAAAAAAAAGAAACACUAAGCGCAGCACCUGUUGCAGUUAGUACUAGAAGAGAUGGGGAAAGGCAAGGAGACACCACACCGUCCAGGAAGGCUUGUGGCAGCAUCCGGCUUGAGAUUUGGGAAGUGGCCGGCGGCAGACUUGACGCAGUUGCAUGCAGUUCGCCUAUCUUGUUGGGUAGGGAUGCUCCCCAAGUUUUUCACUCCACUACAGCAUGAACUUGAUGGAGUGCCUCCUUGGGUGAGAUACGGCACGCAAGGCUCAAGUUCGUGGGUAACUUGUUCACAGGUGAUUGCUUCACCUGGCCUUGCCACCAAGACUAGCACCAGAACAAGACUUACCACUGCAACCACCUUCAUCAUGUUUUCGCCGGAUCAACUAGUAGUAUACGAUUUGCGCGGAAUAUACUCGAGUGAGAGGGGU
rnacentral:lncRNA from 1 species